AUACGGAGGAUCCGAGCGUUAUCCGGAUUUAUUGGGUUUAAAGGGUGCGCAGGCGGCCAUUUAAGUCAGCGGUUAAAUCGUGGGGCUCAACCCCAUUCUGCCGUUGAUACUGGGUGGCUUGGUUGCGGUCGAGGUUGGCGGAAUUCGUUGUGUAGCGGUGGAAUGCAUAGAUAUGACGAAGAACACCGAUUGCGUAGGCAGCUGACCAGACCGCAAAUGACGCUCAUGCACGAAAGUGCGGGGAUCGAACAGGAUUAGAUACCCUGGUAGUCCGCACAGUAAACGAUGAAUACUUGUUUUCGGCGAUAUAAUGUCGGAGGCAAAGCGAAAGCGAUAAGUAUUCCACCUGGGGAGUACGCCGGCAACGGUGAAACUCAAAGGAAUUGACGGGG
rnacentral:rRNA from 1 species